UACAGGGGGUGCAAACGUUGCUCGGAAUCAUUGGGCGUAAAGCGCACGUAGGCGGUUCGUUAUGUCGGAUGUGAAAGCCCUUGGCUUAACCGAGGAAGUGCAUCCGAAACUGGCGAGCUAGAGUACUAAAGAGGAUCGCGGAAUUCCCGGUGUAGAGGUGAAAUUCGUAGAUAUUCGGAAGAACACCAGUGGCGAAGGCGACUCGCUGGACAAGUAUUGACGCUGAGGUGCGAAAGCGUGGGGAGCAAACAGG
rnacentral:rRNA from 1 species